CAUGUCCCAUGGUUCACCAGGGCAUUUUCCCAGGAGUGAAAGAAGGAGUUAAGGGGCUUGGAGAAGGUUGUGUCCCUAGGGGAAUGUUUUGCAGAGGUACUGUAAGACAGGACUGCUCGUGUAUCUACUGGUUGAAAACCUUGUUACCCUGCUGGUAGGGGAGUGCAUAAGAAUACAAUUCUGCACUGGUUUAUCUGGAGAUCCUGAAAAUGUUCAAAUACCGAGACCUCCACUACUGACCAGUGAAUUUACUGCUUGUAUCUGCACCCAAGAAAAAGAAGGUCUAAACAGUACUAUGGAAAACGAACUGCUCACAACUUUGGAUAAAGAUUUUAGAUCAAAUCCUUGCUCUGACAUCAAGAGUAUCCCGGGAGCAGAGACCUGAAUUCUGCUUUUCCUGCAUGGCUGUCCUGCCCACUGGGCUGCCAAGUUCCAUCCUAAGAAGUACUUAGAAGUGGAUUAUCCAACAGGAGAGAAUGAGAGACUCUUCCCAAGGAUGGACAGAGCUAAAGCUGGGACCUGCCUACAGUCAGAAAGUAGGGAUCCAUACUCAAGUUUCUGCUAUGUUCGCUUCAGAAAAGAGGUGGGAAAGGGGAUCCUGGAUAAAAGUCCUGCCCAAGACAAGACUCCAAACUGAAGACUCCUAUUAUCUAUAAAUCACUUGUGUUUCCUGCAGAGAAAAAGGAGGGAAGAAAGAGACAGAAAAACAGAGACAGAGGAUAUACCAAGUGAAAUAUUCAAUACCCGUCCUAAACCCAAUUCUCUCAUAAGCAGGAAGGAAUUACCUGAUACCUCAAAACUAAGUCUAGAAGAAACGUGUCGCUGCUGUUUUUGGUUUAAUAUUGAAAACAAAUAACUUUUUUUUUUACUUGUUCCAGUAGGAUAAGAUGUGUAACAACUUACAUAUUUCUGAGAUGAUGGCAGUAUAUACUAUGAAUUAUUAAAGGUUACUGUCCAGCUUACAUCCUCACAAAGAAGAUAUGGCUGUUAAUGACUGCUCUAAUUUUGAAAGAUUUUUGAACGAAUUCUCUAGUUUUAAAAUGAAGAAAUGCAAGUACACUUUCUGUGCAAACCAACUGUGAUACUACUAGCAGAUAUUACCCACUGAGGCUUAUUUUAAACUGAAACCAGCAAUAAAUAAAAUUAAUGCCAAGUACUGUUUGCAUAAUACCAUUGUUCCCAAAGUGUAACACCACACAACCUCAAAUAACUACAUACAUUCCUAAUUUAUUUAAACCAUUUUCAAAUAAAUUAUAUGCAAGAAAACCUGCAUCUUUAAA